UACAGAGGGUGCAAGCGUUGUUCGGAAUUAUUGGGCGUAAAGCGCGUGUAGGCGGCAUUGCAAGUCGGGUGUGAAAGCCCUCAGCUCAACUGAGGAAGUGCGCCCGAAACUGCAGUGCUUGAGUACCGGAGAGGAUGGCGGAAUUCCCCAAGUAGAGGUGAAAUUCGUAGAUAUGGGGAGGAACACCGGUGGCGAAGGCGGCCUUCUGGACGGAUACUGACGCUGAGACGCGAAAGCGUGGGUAGCAAACAGG
rnacentral:rRNA from 1 species